GAAGGUAUAGCUCAGUGGUAGAGCGCAUGCCUAGCAUGCAUGAGGUCCUGCGUUCAAUCCCCAGGACCUCCA
rnacentral:tRNA from 1 species